GACAGAGGGUGCAAACGUUGUUCGGAAUUACUGGGCGUAAAGCGCGUGUAGGCGGCGUGACAAGUCGGGUGUGAAAGCCCUCAGCUCAACUGAGGAAGUGCGCCCGAAACUGUCGUGCUUGAGUGCCGGAGAGGGUGGCGGAAUUCCCCAAGUAGAGGUGAAAUUCGUAGAUAUGGGGAGGAACACCGGUGGCGAAGGCGGCCACCUGGACGGUAACUGACGCUGAGACGCGAAAGCGUGGGGAGCGAACAGG
rnacentral:rRNA from 1 species